UACGGGGGGAGCAAGCGUUGUUCGGAUUUACUGGGCGUAAAGGGCGCGUAGGCGGUCAGCACAAGUCAGUUGUGAAAUCUCCGGGCUUAACUCGGAAAGGUCAACUGAUACUGUGCGACUAGAGUGCGGAAGGGGCAACUGGAAUUCUCGGUGUAGCGGUGAAAUGCGUAGAUAUCGAGAGGAACACCUGCGGCGAAGGCAGCUUGCUGGGACGGUACUGACGCUGAGGCGCGAAAGCGUGGGGAGCAAACAGG
rnacentral:rRNA from 1 species